UGCUUGUCUCAAAGAUUAAGCCAUGCAUGCCUAAGCCUGAACUAAAUUAAAGUGAAGCCACGAAUAGCUCAUUACCACAGCCGUUGUUUCUCGGAUCUCCGUAAUACUGGAUAACUGUGGUAAUUCUAGAGCUAAUACACGCAAUCGAGCUCCGACCGUAAGGAACGAGCGCAUUUAUUAGAACAAAACCAAUCAGUGCUUGCACUGUGGUUUGGUGAAUCUGAAUAACUGAGCAGAUCGAUACGGUCUUGUACCGGCGAAAGUAUCUCAAGUGUCUGCCUUAUCAACUUUCGAUGGUAGUUUAUGUGCCACAGGGUUGUAACGGGUAACGGAGAAUUAGGGUUCGACUCCGGAGAGGGAGCCUGAGAAACGGCGACCACUUCCRAGGAAGGCAGCAGGCA
rnacentral:rRNA from 1 species